AGGUCUGUGGCAGGCCGUGAGACGGUGACCAGAGAAGCAGUCAGCACUCACGGCCCCUGCCCUUUCAGAGUUUACGCUUGCUUGGAAGCCUCCAGAAUGGGGAUAAGCACAAGACAUUUAUGCUGGGCUUCAUCCAGGAAGCUCUGGUGGAAGGAAGAGAAAGCAGCCCACACAGCAAGGUUCAGGAGAAGAUUCCCAUGAAGGACAACUGGGGUUCAGCCCCAUCCAGCAGAUGACACGGAGCCGGCCUCGGAGGUGUCCUCACCGUGGGACACUGGCAUCUGAGCUACCUCAGGGCGUAGCCGGCCGAUGUUCCCAGCCUCCCCCUGGGCACAGCCAGCCCAGGCCAAGUGGUCUAGCGAACACUCUGUGUGGCUUCCCUCAUAAAUGCCCCCCAGGACUCAGAAUUCUCACCCCAAAGGAUUUGAGACCGAGUCUGCAAGACACGGAUCGUCCAGAUGAGUG
rnacentral:lncRNA from 1 species